UAAAUACACGUGCGUGCGCGAAACACCUU
rnacentral:sRNA from 1 species